rfam:Nelumbo nucifera unplaced genomic scaffold scaffold00042, whole genome shotgun sequence
AUACUUACCUGGACGGGGUCGAUGGGUGAUCAAGAAGGCCCAUGGCCUAGGUUAGCGACCUCCAUUGCACUAGGGAGGGGUGCCCGCCUAACAUCUCCCCAAGUGGGAGAGUGUACGUCAUAAUUUGUUCUAGCGGGGGUACGCGUUCGN